rnacentral:rRNA from 1 species
CACGUAGGGCGCAAGCGUUGUCCGGAAUUAUUGGGCGUAAAGAGCUCGUAGGCGGUCUGUAGCGUCCGCUGUGAAAACUCGGGGCUUAACCCCGAGCCUGCAGUGGAUACGGGCAGACUAGAGGUAGGUAGGGGAGAAUGGAAUUCCCGGUGUAGCGGUGAAAUGCGCAGAUAUCGGGAGGAACACCGGUGGCGAAGGCGGUUCUCUGGGCCUUACCUGACGCUGAGGAGCGAAAGCGUGGGGAGCGAACAGG